CUAGUUCAUCGUUGCUGAGUUCUAACCGACCAACAACAACGGUGUACACACCGAGCGCGCGAGAAGCCAUGAUUUAUGGGCUCGCGUGUCCAUCGAUACUCGCCGCCGCGCCGGACUCUGCGCUUUCGAGUGGUGGAGCGGAGACCACUUGGAGGAAAUCGAUUUCACCACCUAAAACUCCGAUAGAACCUAAGUGAUCAACUUGCUAGUAGUUCACCUCCAGCGAUUCGGACGUCUGGUUGACCAGGGAACAGUUGUAGGGCAUCUCCGGUUUGCCAGCGGCAAUCAAAUGGAACACACAUGGCUCCCGCUGCUGUCCGACGGCGUUGUCCGCCCAGCACAUGAUCGUCCCGUAAUCCUGCUCCUGCAAAUAGGAAGGGUGGGUGGAGAGAAUAAGGUUACAACAGUGUGAAUCGGGUGCGAUUUGCUCUAGGAGAUAAUGAAAUAAUAAAUAUGUGAUGUA